UUCGAAUUAGAGGAAAAUCAAAAAUUUCGUUCUAAUUUGCAUCCUCAUUCACAAAAUCUCUUUAACUAUAAUUGUAUUGCACAAAAAAGCAUUAUUCUUAAUUGCAAUAAAGUUCGGAAGUUAAGAACGGUCGGAGUUAUCGGAAGAUGACGGAUUUUUUCCGACCGAUAACAUGUUGCAUUUAUUUAUUUGUUUCCAAUUAUCUUUAAGUUUAAACUAAAUAGCAAUUAAUACGUAUAACCAAUGAUGAUGCGUAAAGGAUUUACGAUUUACCCUAGCCAAAACUACGUGGCUGCGUGUCCCUAAUGAUCACGAGAGCUUAUCGACAUAAAUGGUAAAUUUAACGAACAACGUAAAUACCGACCAACGGUUCAUAGUUUAGGAGGCAAAAAUAUUAUUUACCCUAAUAAUGAUUGUUAUUCCAACGGUCAUUUAUUUCUUAUUUUCGUGAUAAGGAAUAAUAUCUUAAUCAGUCGAUAUUUACCUACAAAUAUUUACAGUAAGAAGUAAAAAAUGAGUAAAAUUGUAUAAGAAAAUAUUUACCUACAAAUAUUAUAUUUGACUGAUAUUAAGUCAAAAUCAUAGAUUACUGUAAAACAAAAUGUUAUGAUGUCUUCAUGAUUGUGACGUCAUAAUUAAAUGAAAUUAAUAAAAUCUGAUCCUGCAAAGUUAUCUUUGACUGCAAAAUCAAUAUUUAUGCAUUACUAUUCAAAACUCAAAUCUGAGUCUGUAAUAUGAUUUUAAAUUAUAAAAUACAUUCGUUUGAAUUUUAUAAAGAAAGUAAAUAGAGUGAACAUAUAUAUUACGAGUCUGAAUAGAAUUUAAUGAAAAUCUAUUUUAUGGAUUA
rnacentral:lncRNA from 1 species